GUGGGGAAUUUUGGACAAUGGGCGCAAGCCUGAUCCAGCAAUGCCGCGUGCAGGAAGAAGGCCUUCGGGUUGUAAACUGCUUUUGUACGGAACGAAACGGUCCGGGUUAAUACCCUGGGCUAAUGACGGUACCGUAAGAAUAAGCACCGGCUAACUACGUGCCAGCAGCCGCGGUAAUACGUAGGGUGCAAGCGGUAAUCGGAAUUACUGGGCGUAAAGCGUGCGCAGGCGGUUGUGUAAGACAGGCGUGAAAUCACCGGGCUCAACCUGGGAAUUGCGGUUGUGACUGCAAGGCUGGAGUGCGGCAGAGGGGGAUGGAAUUCCGCGUGUAGCAGUGAAAUGCGUAGAUAUGCGGAGGAACACCGAUGGCGAAGGCAAUCCCCUGGGCCUGCACUGACGCUCAUGCACGAAAGCGUGGGGAGCAAACAGGAUUAGAUACCCUAGUAGUCC
rnacentral:rRNA from 1 species